CCUACGGGAGGCAGCAGUGAGGAAUAUUGGUCAAUGGGCGCGAGCCUGAACCAGCCAAGUCGCGUGAGGGAAGACGGUCCUAUGGAUUGUAAACCUCUUUUGUCGGGGAGCAAAAGACGCUACGCGUGGCGUUCCGAGAGUACCCGAAGAAAAAGCACCGGCUAAUUCCGUGCCAGCAGCCGCGGUAAUACGGAGGAUGCGAGCGUUAUCCGGAUUUAUUGGGUUUAAGGGGUGCGCAGGCGGAAGAUCAAGUCAGCGGUAAAAUUGAGAGGCUCAACCUCUUCGAGCCGUUGAAACUGGUGUUCUUGAGUGAGUGAGAAGUAUGCGGAAUGCGUGGUGUAGCGGUGAAAUGCAUAGAGAUCACGAAGAACUCCGAUUGCGAAGGCAGCAUACCGGCGCUCAACUGACGCUCAUGCACGAAAGUGUGGGUAUCGAACAGGAUUAGAUACCCUAGUAGUC
rnacentral:rRNA from 1 species